rnacentral:misc_RNA from 1 species
AAGUCGUAACAAGGUUUCCGUAGGUGAACCUGCGGAAGGAUCAUUAACACGUAUCCAACGUUAAAACCCCCCGUGAACCUUCAUUAUGCUGGUUGUGCGCCAUCGUAUCGUAGCAAUCCCUGGUAAAUCAUCGCCGAACAGUUUUGAUUCAGGGACCUCUAUUAUAAGAACGAGUCUAACCAUAUAGCAUAUAGCAAUGGACCUGGCAUUCCUCUGCUUGUUAGUGUCUGAAAGUGUCACUAGCUCUGUACGGAUGGCGCAGUAACGAUCGCUAGAGGCCGACACGGCCGGCGACCAGGUCCCUGGGUGAAAGCCCCCUAUAGUCACCUCCAUUGCACGAUUAACGCGGUGUGCGAUUCGUACGCACCCUCCAUAAAAUGCUUAGAACAACUGUUAACAAUGGAUAUCUUGAUGAAGAACGCAGC